UAACACGUUCAUGCCCUUCUCCCGAAAGCUGUGGCAGGUUCUUCUCCAUAAAGAGGCUUUGAUGGCUGAGUAAAUCACUCAUCCCAGGCUUCAUCUCUAAUCCUCCAUUACUAGCCACCAAGUUCUUGGUGUGGAAGAUGAGGAGCGCUGGCCUUGUUGUGGCCUUCCUGGCCUUGGUGUUUCUUGUCAGCCUCUCCGCUGCCCGAGAGGACCCUGAUAUCUUCCUGCCAAGCCAAGGAAUCGGAGAGGAGGUAGGGGGAGAGAAGCCAUGGGCGUGCUGCGACAGUUGCUCGUGCACGAAGUCGAUCCCGCCGCAGUGCCGGUGCACCGACCAGUUGAUCGGAGGUUGCGACCCCAACUGCAAGACCUGCAUCUGCACAAGGUCGUACCCGCCCAAAUGCCGCUGCUACGACAUCAUCAACGACUACUGCGGUGAGCGAUGCAACCCGGAGCAGUAGCGCCCCCGACGGCCGCUCCCCGCAGCUUUCGUGCCGCCGCUGCAUGCGUGAUGCAUGGAUUUGCUGGAAUAACAGAGGAGAUUGUUCGUAGUAUCUUCUCUGCACCUGAUGUCGCUGGUAUAACCUUCCGUGUGAGUGUUAUCCGGCUGCUAAAUAAUUCACGCAAGGCAGCGGUUUGGUGUUCA